UCCGAAAUGGUCCAGUGGUCAGGAUCUCACGCUCUCACCGUGAUGGCCGGGGUUCAAUUCCCCGUUUCGGAG
rnacentral:tRNA from 1 species